rnacentral:misc_RNA from 1 species
UUGAUUGCGAAUCGUCGCCGUCAGUGCUGGCCGGCUUCGGCAUGUGCACGUCGGUGACUUUCAUCCAAUACCCUGUGAACCUUUGGCCUCUUGCUAGCUUCGGCCGGCAGAGGAAUUUUACACAAACUCGAAUGUAAUGAAAUAUAUUGUCGUGCGCAAGCACUAAUGUA